GCCGAUCUAGAAGGACGUCCCGGACGACCAGAAGAUCCAGAAGGACUACCUCGACACCCGGAGGAUCCAGAAGGACAUACGGACGACUAGAAGACGUCAGAGAUCAAGGAAGACUACGAAGACCUAUCAGCCUGAUAGAUGCAGGAUCCGAGAGAAGGAGUCGACAGGACGACAAACGUGGAAGGAGUUAAGGAUGGCCCGAGCUACACUCCGAGCUGCCUGUGGAGAAGGAUCGAGAAGAUUCGUGAAGACGAAGUUUGCCUAGAAGACUAGAUAUCGUUUCCGCUUUCUGUUUGUUUUCUUUUAGCCCAAAGGGCUUGUACUCUGAGAUUCGUAUUACAAUCCUUUGGAUUAUAUAAUACAUAAACCCAUGUGAUGUUGUAAACGUGAGUCAUGUCUGUGAUAUCCAAUUGAAAUGAGUUAUGUA